AUGGUGUCGUGGAGUGAUGGGUCAGAUAGCAUCAAGCACACCGUGGAGUACAUGAGCUCAGCUUCCAAGGACGGCACCAUUAAGGAAGGUAAAAACUGUGGACUAGUAGAAUGGAUUGAUCCAUCUUGGCCCAAUACCCUUGAGAAUGCACUGUCCAAGUAUGGUCUAUAAGAGAAGAAGAAACUCCAGGCAGCCUAUGAGAAGUUGGUUGAAGAUGUCAAUGCACUUAUGGAUGCCCAGGAGCAGAGGGCAGUGAUACAAAGGAAAGAUGCUGAAACCACCAAGUUGCAGGAGAAGUAUGACACUGUGAAGAACAUAGCAGAUGCUCAGGCUACUAUCAUUAGGAACAUGAAGUUGAAGCUAGCUGAAGAGAGGAAGAAUUUGCAGAUCCACAUUGAUGAGCUCAAGAAGACAGUUGAGAGCAAUGUGAAGCUGGAGGGGAUCAAGGCCAUCAUAAAUGGAUAA
rnacentral:rRNA from 1 species